GAUGAACGCUAGCGGCAGGCCUAACACAUGCAAGUCGAACGGUAACAUGAGUAGCAAUACUUGAUGACGAGUGGCGCACGGGUGCGUAACGCGUAUGCAACUUACCUCUAACUGGAGAAUAGCCUUCCGAAAGGAAGAAUAAUACUCCAUAAUAUUACGAUGUGGCAUCACAUUGUUCUUAAAGCUUCGGCGGUUAGAGAUGGGCAUGCGUCUGAUUAGCUUGUUGGUGAGGUAACGGCUCACCAAGGCAACGAUCAGUAGGGGGCCUGAGAGGGUUAUCCCCCANACUGGUACUGAGACACGGACCAGACUCCUACGGGAGGCAGCAGUGAGGAAUAUUGGUCAAUGGACGAAAGUCUGAACCAGCCAUGCCGCGUGCAGGAUGAAUGCCCUAUGGGUUGUAAACUGCUUUUAUAUUAGGAAUAAACCCCUUUACGUGUAAAGGGCUGAAGGUACUAUAAGAAUAAGGACCGGCUAACUCCGUGCCAGCAGCCG
rnacentral:rRNA from 1 species